UUACAAUAAUACAAUUAAUGGGUUACUUUUUUGCAAAAUAUGAUCGUUAUGAAGAUUUUCAUAAUUGCAUUGUUAUAUGCAAAGAACUAGGUGCAUCAGCAAAUAACAAAUGCGUGCUCAAAACUCUUAAUCUUGCUUUGUUGGUGGAUAAAUCGUUUUCGGCAUGCAAACACUUUCUUAUUAUGAAGAAAUAUCUUGACAACAACAACCCAAAUUUUCACUACAAAAAAGGUAUAAUACGCUAUUUUAUCCUUGAUCAUUCUGACUUUGGUCUCCACCAUAUUGGUAAAUCAAUUGAUGUAGGCCAAAAAGAAGCUUCCUUCAUGUAUGCCAUGCUAUUAUUAUGUAGAGGCAGAACUGAAGAGGGGAAGGUCUAUCUGAGCCACCUUCAAGAGGCUGAAGACACCACCAUGGCUGAAACAUGUUGGAAAAAAAAUCAAAACAUCAUUACAUGGGAUUAGAGUGGCGAGAAAAAAUUGCUAUAUCAUAUCAUUUCGCAACAUAUAACCCCCACGCGUGUGCCAUCCAAGAUAUUUGAGCAACACAUAUGAAACGUGUUUUAUCUACAAACAAAUGUUUAAGUAUAUCUUUAUGAUAUAACUUUCAACACAUUAUCUAGAGAGUUGGAAUGAGUUUUAAGAAUUCCACCAUUAAUGUUUCAGGCGGUGAACUAUCACUAAGCUUCAAAACAAAUUACAUU
rnacentral:sRNA from 1 species